GCCCGCGAGCCGGCCAACGACCCCCGCGAGCGCUUAGUGCGGCCGGAGGAGGCUGUGCUGGUAAAACUUGCAACGGCCUCGGCAAGGAUGAUGACCGUCACUGACUGGAAAACCAGAUACGUGAAUGUCCCUGAAUUUAUACUGAUCCCCAAUCCGUGGCCACCGUUGGCGACGGCACGGGCACCAGCUCACCCAUCCAUUCAUUCUCUCCGAAAUUCUGAAUUAAAGUGAGAGCGUCAGGCCUUCCUCCUGCCCUUCCUGACCAACUGCAUUUCAGCAUCACAAAACGGGGGAGGAGAGAAAGUUCGCUGAAGAGAAGUCCAGCUGGCAGAUGAGGAGGGAGCCAAAAAGAGAAUCACUUUGCAGCCCUCAGUGAAAGAUGGAUCCGGGCGCUGGCCACCAAGAGGCGGAGACCAAGAGGUGAAUGCUUGGUGGCCAACUUGAAAAUGGAGGGGCCCCGCGGUCCUGACCUGGACGGGUCAAACCCUAGAAGCAGGAAGUACAUACCUGCCCCACCUUGUUUGGAUUCUUGCCAAAACACUUUGAACCUUAACCCGAUCUGGUCUCUAAAGCUAACCAACAAUUUACAGGAAAUAUGGGGGGCCGGAGGAGAAAGUAAGAAGCGGAAGCCAUCAGUCAAGUCCAGAAUGUGGGGCAUUCUACAGGGCGCACGACCCCGUUUCUUCAAUAAAUAAAUGGUAUACGAGGUGAAGAAAGAUUUUUGAUUUUAAAACGCUGAUAAGCCAUAAUAACCAAAUGCAUCACAAGGGCCUAAACCAAACGGAGUCCAACCAUUUUUUUGAGAUAACCAGGAAAACAAAACUUGUACUUUAUUUUUGAAAUUACACUUUUCUGGAUUCUUGGUGAA